rnacentral:rRNA from 1 species
UACGGGGGGGGCAAGCGUUGUUCGGAAUUACUGGGCGUAAAGGGCGUGUAGGCGGUCUGUUAAGUCUGGCGUGAAAGCUCUCGGCUAAACCGGGAGAGGUCGUUGGAUACUGGCAGACUAGAGGACGGUAGAGGCGUGUGGAAUUCCGGGUGUAGUGGUGAAAUGCGUAGAGAUCCGGAGGAACACCAGUGGCGAAGGCGACACGCUGGGCCGUACCUGACGCUAAAGCGCGACAGCAUGGGGAGCAAACGGG